rnacentral:misc_RNA from 1 species
CCGGCACACGAAGGGGAGUAGCUCCCGUCCGCUUUUCAUCAGAGCGGGUAUCGUCAGGUCGUCAAUACGAAGCAUCAAAAACUUCCGGCCUGUCGGGCAGCCCACGCUGCCGAGCAAGACCUUCGAUUUGAAC